rnacentral:lncRNA from 1 species
GGAAAAGCGAGUUGGAUGGAGGCUCUGCCCGGCAGCGCGUGCGGGCAGGUCCUGCCGCCGCCGCAAAACUGGAGGGGGGGGAAUCUCUGAUUUCUGAAGCUGGUUUGCUGACAGCUCUCUCCUAUCUCCCCCCCUCUCUGUGCCCCAGGAUGCCAAUCCCUUCGCUUCCCUCGUCUUUUACUGGGAACCCCUCAACCGGCAGGUCCGAAUCGAGGGCUCGGUGAAGCGGCUGCCGGAGGAGGAAUCGGAGCGGUACUUCCACUCCCGCCCCAAAAGCAGCCAGAUCGGGGCCGUCGUCAGCCGGCAGAGCACCGUCAUUCCGGACAGGGAGUAUUUAAGGAAGAAGAACACGGAGCUGGAGGAGCGGUACAGGGAGAUGGUGGUGCCCAAGCCGGCGUACUGGGGGGGCUACAUCCUGCAGCCAGACGUUGUGGAGUUCUGGCAGGGCCAAACCAACCGCCUGCACGACCGCAUCGUCUUCCGCCGCCUGCGGGAUGGCUCGGCCCCCCUGGGAGACAUGACACACCGGGGAGAGGGCGAGUGGGUCUUCGAACGCUUCGCCCCGUGAGGCUGCUGGUGCCUCCGGCUGCGUUCGCCCGAUCGGGAGUGUCACCUGUGCUAAACCUGUCCCCUGUUGUGCCCCGGGAAAUGGGGCUGGUCUCGUUUUACCCUUCCCCGGGAGGACCACGUGCUGGUGGGGGGCCCCUAUCCAGCCCCAGAGACCCUCCUCUCCCUUCGCUUCCCCGUGGGUCCCAGAGACCAGCUGCUCCCCCUCGCCAGCCCGUGGGGAGCGACGGCUCCCAGUGCUGCUGGUGGUUAAUUCAUCACGUGAAUGAUGAUGGAGGGACCAGGAAAGACCCCAGCGAACCCCCUGCCCGUGUCCUGCCGGUGCCUCGUGUUUCACCUAGAACCCUGCGGCGUGCUCUGUCUGUGCCAUAACUUAUUGAACCGCGGCUUUAAUGUCACCAGUCUGUGCAGUAACUUAUUGAAUUGCAGCUUUAAUGUCACCACCGUGUCACCGGCGUUCGGGGCUGGCCCUGUGUGUUGACACCAGCGCACUAUGGGACCCCAACCCCUCAGCCUGUGUGUUUGGGGGGGGCACCGGCGGGUGCUGCUCCCUGUUCCCCCCGCAGCUGCCUGUCAGAGCUUGGAAAAAAUAAAUCCCGAUCGGCG